rnacentral:rRNA from 1 species
AGAGUUGAUCCUGGCUCAGAUGAACGCUGGCGGCGUGCCUAACACAUGCAAGUCGAACGUGAGGAGAUAGCAAUAUCUCUGAAAGUGGCGAACGGGUGAGUAACACGUAGGUAACCUGCCGCGCAGAGGGGGAUAACCACUGGAAACGGUGGCUAAUACCGCAUGGGACUACUUGAACGGGAGUUUAAGUGGUUAAAGCCUUGGCGCUGCGCGAGGGGUCUGCGUCCGAUUAGUUAGUUGGUGAGGUAACGGCUCACCAAGGCGAUGAUCGGUAGCUGGUCUGAGAGGAUGAUCAGUCACACGGGAACUGAAACACGGUCCCGACUCCUACGGGGGGCAGCAGUGAGGAAUAUUGCACAAUGGACGCAAGUCUGAUGCAGCAACGCCGCGUGGAGGAAGACGGUCUUCGGAUUGUAAACUCCUUUUCCCAGGGAAGAGAAUGGACGGUACCUGGGGAAUAAGUCACGGCUAACUACGUGCCAGCAGCCGCGGUAAUACGUAGGUGGCAAGCGUUAUCCGGAAUUACUGGGCGUAAAGCGCACGCAGGCGGUUUCUUAAGUUUGACGUGAAAGCUCCUGGCUUAACUGGGAGAGGUCGUUGAAGACUGGGGAACUUGAGGCAAUGAGAGGGAUGUAGAAUUCACGGUGUAGUGGUGGAAUGCGUAGAUAUCGUGAGGAAUACCAGUGGCGAAAGCGGCAUCCUGGCAUUAGCCUGACGCUCAUGUGCGAAAGCGUGGGGAGCGAACGGGAUUAGAUACCCCGGUAGUCCACGCUGUAAACGAUGAACACUAGGUGUAGGUGGUGUGAAAGCUAUCUGUGCCGAAGCCAACGCGUUAAGUGUUCCGCCUGGGGAGUACGGCCGCAAGGCUAAAACUCAAAGGAAUUGACGGGGGCCCGCACAAGCAGCGGAGCGUGUGGUUUAAUUCGAUGCGACGCGAAGAACCUUACCCAGG